UUCGGUCAGAAUAUGUAACUAAAGUUAUCCGAAUUAUAACUCAAACGUUAUUCACCAACCUUGAUCAAAACAUGCGACUCAUAACCUAAGUGGUUAGCCGCUCGUCCGCCAACCUAGGUCAGAAAUUAAUAAUUAUUAAUCAACCACUCGUCCGGUCAGAGCAUGUGACUUAGGUUACAUGAAUUGUAACUUAACGUUAUCUACCAAACUUGGUCAGAACAUACAAUUAGUAACUUAAGUGUCGUCCGAGCGCAUAACUUCGAAUACUGACAUGAUACGUUCAAAAACAAAAGAAGUGCGCGGAAAACAGCAAGAACUAAAAGCAGUUAAAUUGUUCAAACGCCCACAACCCGGGUCCAGAUAUUUUCACAAAUUAUACUAUCUUGAUGGCUUCAUCCUGCUGCGGAGCCUCCGACACAAUUUCUUCACGAUUCUGACGUUCGUCCUCCGCCCCUUCUGCCUCCUCACCCUCUGCGCCCCCAAGAGGUACUAGGCGGCCAUCCACCACAUCCAUACCCGGGUCGUAGCGGUCAUCAUCAGUCGGCACACCAUGGAAGAAAGCUACCUGACGAACGCCCUGAUUAAAACUCUCUUCACUUACACGCAGCAUAAAACUUUGGCAUUGUUCGAUUUCGGCGGUCAAAGACUCCUUUUCAACCAUCAGACCAUCUUUUUCUCUC
rnacentral:lncRNA from 1 species